UAACGAUGUCGAUUUGGAGUUUGUUGCCUAGAGUGAUGGGCUCCGAAGCUAACGCGAUAAAUCGACCGCCUGGGGAGUACGGCCGCAAGGUUAAAACUCAAAUGAAUUGACGGGGGCCCGCACAGCGGUGGAGCAUGUGGUUUAAUUCGAUGCAACGCGAAGAACCUUACCUGGUCUUGACAUCCAUAGAAUUCUGCAGAGAUGUGGGAGUGCCUUCGGGAACUAUGAGACGGGUGCUGCAUGGCUGUCGUCAGCUCGUGUUGUGAAAUGUUGGGUUAAGUCCCGCAACGAGCGCAACCCUUAUUCUUUGUUGCCAGCGAUUUGGUCGGGAACUCAAAGGAGACUGCCGUUGAUAAAGCGGAGGAAGGUGGGGACGACGUCAAGUCAUCAUGGCCCUUACGACCAGGGCUACACACGUGCUACAAUGGCGUAUACAAAGGGAAGCGAAGGUGCGAGCUGGAGCGGAUCUCAUAAAGUACGUCUAAGUUCGGAUUGGAGUCUGCAACUCGACUCCAUGAAGUCGGAAUCGCUAGUAAUCGUAGAUCAGAAUGCUACGGUGAAUACGUUCCCGGGCCUUGUACACACCGCCCGUCACACCAUGGGAGUGGGUUGCACCAGAAGUAGAUAGCUUAACCGCGAGGGGGGCGUUUACCACGGUGUGAUUCAUGACUGGGGUGAAGUCGUAACAAGGUAACCA
rnacentral:rRNA from 1 species